rnacentral:tRNA from 2 species
GCGGGCAUCGUAUAAUGGCUAUUACCUCACCCUUCCAAGCUGAUGAGCAGGUUCGAUUCCUGCUGCCCGCUCCA